GACGAACGCUGGCGGCGUGCCUAAUACAUGCAAGUAGAACGCACAGUUUAUACCGUAGCUUGCUACACCAUAAACUGUGAGUUGCGAACGGGUGAGUAACGCGUAGGUAACCUGCCUGGUAGCGGGGGAUAACUAUUGGAAACGAUAGCUAAUACCGCAUAAUAUUAAUUAUUGCAUGAUAAUUGAUUGAAAGAUGCAAUUGCAUCACUACCAGAUGGACCUGCGUUGUAUUAGCUAGUAGGUGAGGUAACGGCUCACCUAGGCGACGAUACAUAGCCGACCUGAGAGGGUGAUCGGCCACACUGGGACUGAGACACGGCCCAGACUCCUACGGGAGGCAGCAGUAGGGAAUCUUCGGCAAUGGACGAAAGUCUGACCGGGCAACGCCGCGUGAGUGAAGAAGGUUUUCGGAUCGUAAAGCUCUGUUGUAAGAGAAGAACGGGUGUGAGAGUGGAAAGUUCACACUGUGACGGUAUCUUACCAGAAAGAGACGGCUAACUACGUG
rnacentral:rRNA from 1 species